rnacentral:rRNA from 1 species
GACGAACGCUGGCGGCGUGCUUAACACAUGCGAGUCGAACGGUGAAAGCGGAGCUUGCUCCGCUGGAUCAGUGGCGAACGGGUGAGUAACACGUGGGCAACCUGCCCCUCACUUCGGGAUAACUCCGGGAAACCGGGGCUAAUACCGGAUAUGACCUCCUUGGGCAUCCUUGGAGGUGGAAAGUUUUUCGGUGAGGGAUGGGCCCGCGGCCUAUCAGCUUGUUGGUGAGGUAGUGGCUCACCAAGGCGACGACGGGUAGCCGGCCUGAGAGGGCGACCGGCCACACUGGGACUGAGACACGGCCCAGACUCCUACGGGAGGCAGCAGUGGGGAAUAUUGCACAAUGGGCGCAAGCCUGAUGCAGCAACGCCGCGUGAGGGAUGACGGCCUUCGGGUUGUAAACCUCUUUUAGCAGGGAAGAAGCGAAAGUGACGGUACCUGCAGAAAAAGCACCGGCUAACUACGUGCCAGCAGCCGCGGUAA